CAGCCAUGCAUGUCUAAGUAUAAGCACUUGUACUGUGAAACUGCGAAUGGCUCAUUAAAUCAGUUAUCGUUUAUUUGAUUGUACCUUACUACAUGGAUACCUGUGGUAAUUCUAGAGCUAAUACAUGCGAAAAGUCCCGACUUCUGGAAGGGAUGUAUUUAUUAGAUUAAAAACCAAUGCGAGUCUUCGGGCUCGUUUUCUUGGUGAUUCAUGAUAACUUUUCGAAUCGCAUGGCCUAGAGCCGGCGAUAUUUCAUUCAAAUUUCUGCCCUAUCAACUGUCGAUGGUAAGGUAGUGGCUUACCAUGGUUAUAACGGGUGACGGAGAAUUAGGGUUCGAUUCCGGAGAGGGAGCCUGAGAAACGGCUACCACAUCUAAGGAAGGCAGCAGGCUCGAAAAUUACCCAAUCCCGACUCGGGGAGGUAGUGACAAGAAAUAACGAUACGGGGUCUUAAUAGGUCUCGCAAUUGGAAUGAGUACAAUUUAAAUCCUUUAACGAGGAUCAAUUGGAGGGCAAGUCUGGUGCCAGCAGCCGCGGUAAUUCCAGCUCCAAUAGCGUAUAUUAAAGUUGUUGCAGUUAAAAAGCUCGUAGUUGGAUUUCGGAGUGGGCCAGUUGGUCCGCCGCAAGGUGUGUUACUGACUGGUUUGCUCUUCUUCGCAAAGACUGCGUGUGCCCUUAAAUGAGUGUGCGUAGGAUUUACGACGUUUACUUUGAAAAAAUUAGAGUGUUCAAAGCAGGCUAUUGCUUGAAUACAUGAGCAUGGAAUAAUGGAAUAGGACUUUGGUCCCAUUUUGUUGGUUUCUAGGGCCGAAGUAAUGAUUAAGAGGGACAAUUGGGGGCAUCCGUAUUUCGUUGUCAGA
rnacentral:rRNA from 1 species